GAUGAACGCCGGCGGUGUGCCUAAUACAUGCAAGUCGAGCGCACUGGCCCAACUGAUAUGACGUGCUUGCACUGAAUUGACGUUGGAUUACCAGUGAGCGGCGGACGGGUGAGUAACACGUGGGCAACCUGCCCUGAAGCGGGGGAUAACAUCUGGAAACAGGUGCUAAUACCGCAUAACAACGAAAACCACAUGGUUUUCGUUUCGAAGAUGGUUUCGGCUAUCACUUCAGGAUGGGCCCGCGGUGCAUUAGCUAGUUGGUAAGGUAACGGCUUACCAAGGCAAUGAUGCAUAGCCGAGUUGAGAGACUGAUCGGCCACAAUGGAACUGAGACACGGUCCAUACUCCUACGGGAGGCAGCAGUAGGGAAUCUUCCACAAUGGGCGCAAGCCUGAUGGAGCAACACCGCGUGAGUGAAGAAGGGUUUCGGCUCGUAAAGCUCUGUUGUUGGAGAAGAACGUGCGUGAGAGUAACUGUUCACGCA
rnacentral:rRNA from 2 species